rnacentral:tmRNA from 5 species
GGGGCCGGUUUUGGUUUUGACAGCAAGUUGAAAGGAUAUGUAAGCAUGCCGGGUAACGUGGUUCUUCCCGUAAAAAAGUACUGCAAACAAUUAAAAGGCGAAAAUUCAUACGCGCUUGCAGCUUAAUCACCAAGUGACUUAAGCACAGAACAGGACAAGGUCUUGUUCCAGGCUGUUCCGCUACAGAUUUUUCUCAGCAAUCUGAAGCAUCGGAGCACUAGUUCUGUUGAGAUAGCAUUUGUGAUGUUUCUAAGCAAUUGCGAAAUAACAGAAACUAAGGUUCAGAUAGGUCUCUUUUCUCCAGUCUGCACCCUACAAUUUCAGAAAAGAUAAGCAUGUAGAAAGCAUAUUGGUUCCUUGUUUGGACCCGGGUUCGACUCCCGGCGGUUCCACAC